AUAACAUGUGCGCUAUGAAAUGUGUCACCAGGCAAAGGGCGAACUGGGCCAACCAGAUCUGCUAUCGCUUUCGUUCCUGCCGUCUCCUGUAACACUCAGGUAACGCAGUCAAUCAACAGCAUCGGUGGAGUCAAGUCACUUCUGAUUGCAGCUUCUCGUCACGAGCAAAUUCAGUUUUUAAGCGUCAGAAAAGGACUGACCUAUUGUACUAUUUACCAGAUUGUGCGCGUGGCUUAGACAG